UAGUAAUCAGAGUUUUAUUUUUGUUGGCAUAAAAUGUGUAUAUAUAUAUAUAUAUUUCUUAUUUUUUAAAUUUCAGGACGUCAAGCUACCAUCUGUGCUUGGUAGAAACCUCUUCCAUGGGGGCUGUCGAGCUGUGUUCAGCUCUGCAUCUGAGACACUGCUGUCCUGAAAUGGGGAGGAAUUCUUGUCCUCUGAACGGGGAUGCCCAAAAGGAGCAGGCUGGUGCCAGUUACAAUGAGAAGAUGGUUUGGACUCCCAAACUCACUGAAUACCUCCAGAAAACCACCAAUAACUGGGUAACACACUAGGAUGCAACAAAAACACCCCAGCAUCUGGAAUGGAGAGCUUCAAUACCUGCAAACAUCGUGGCACCUGGACAGCACAUCUGAGAGAGCAACCACUGCUGUGAGUGCUUGUUUUUUGGUCCUCCCCAUCUUUUGUACAACAGUUACUGACAAAAGGGAGAAAAAGCUCACAUCUUUUUUAACAUAAGCAGGAAGUGAGAAGCUGAGGAAAAAAAAUACAUUAAAGUUGGAUGACAUUUUUUUAUUCCCGUGAAACAUCUGAAAUGGCUGUAGGGGACCAAGUCAGUGGAAAUGGGCAAAUGAGACAGGAGUUAAC
rnacentral:lncRNA from 1 species